ACGUGAGCCAGCCCUUAUCGUCCAACGGUCUUUAUCAUUUGUGUUGGCAAUUUUCCUCAGUGUUUACGGUAUAUUUUUACGUCAUCAACCUGCGGAAAUGAAUGUUCCUGCCGACAACUAUGCUUGCAAGCAUCCCAGCCUCAGCUAGCAUAGUCAGCCACGGCUCAUAAUCGAUAAAUCUCAGUAGCUACAAAAAUUAUAAAUGCUGUUUUAUUCGAGCUUUAUAAGGUGGUAUGAAACCAUUCGGUAAAAUGACGAAUUAUCUUCAUUUUCAAACACAGAUAACCACUAUUAUGGAAAUGAUGACAAAGACAGCGAUAGCAGAAAUUACUAAACUUUUUAACGACAGUUCCUCAGUUUUAUGUUUGAAAGUAUCUACGACUUUACAUGAGAAUGAAGCGCUGAAGAAGAAACUACAGUUGUUGCAGCAUGAGCUGAGGUCGGCGCGAGGACAGAAAGAGGAAAUAAAAUCAGCGCGUGCGAGUCCUGUCAACACUCGAUCUGUUGGAGUUGAAGUUCUCGUGGAAGAGCCGUGCACAGAGAGAAUCUUUGGGCAGGGGUGGAGCUUCAGUCUGAGGAGAGAUGGAGAACCUGCAGGUGUGGAACAGUCUGCAAACAUGGGGGUCAGGACUGAACCAGUUCUAAUCAAGCAGGAGAGACUGGAAGAGGACUUGUGCUACAGUGACCCACAGCCCACACCUGGAGCAGAGGAACUGGUAACACAGCCCAUACCUGCAACAGAGGAACAGAUAGAAGAUGGGAAGAAACUGGACACAGAGCCCACACCUGCAGGAGACCCAGAGGAGCUGAGUGAGCAGCACAGGUGUGAACACAGUGAUGAGGAGCUCAGUGGACUGGAGUUUGUGGUGAAGGCAGAGCAAGAGGAAGAGCAUGUAGCCCAGAGACUCAGUCAGACAGGAUGUGAACACAGAGCAGGAAGACUCAACAAUGUGGGCUCUGAGUAUGUAAUGUAUGAGAGAGACAGUCAGCUGUGGACUUCCUUUACACAAGAGGACAGUGAUAUAGAGACUGAUGAUCCCGUUUGUUCUAACACUUCAGAGCAGUGCUCACAGAAUCUGUCAAUUCACAUGCAGCUACAACAUACUCCUGCCACCUUGGAAGUCUCUGGAAACACACUGUCCUCUAUUGGGGCUUCAUAUGUUGAGGAGUUUGAUAAGAUGAGUGAGAAGCCGUCUGUUUGCAGUGAGGAGCUCAGAUCAGAGGCCAUUCACACACAGCAGGGUCAGUACAGAGAGAGACUUGUGCACACAGUGGAGAGAGAGAAUCAGACAUUACUGCCCCAGCAGCAGCAACAUGGACCCUCAGUAAAACACAUGAGAGGCAGCGAGAGCCCAGCCCAGCUACACUCAGGCUCUCAGUAUGAGAUCGGCUCUACUCUGAGUACCAGUGUUUUCAGUGCUGGGAAGAAAGGCAAGACUAUAAAGAAGUCUGGCACGAGAGCGAAACUGUUCAGUUGUACACACUGUGGAAAGACUUUUGAACACUGCAGUCAACUUGGAAUACAUCAGAGAAGCCACACGGGGGAGAAACCGUACAGCUGUACUCACUGUGGAAAGCGAUUCAGCCUGAGAUGUAAUCUUAUCACGCAUAAGCGAACUCACACUGGUGAGAAACCGUUCUGCUGCGCACAUUGCGGGAUGUGCUUUGCCCAGCAGUCUAGUCUCACGACGCACCAGCGAAUUCAUACGGGAGAAAAACCGUUUGUUUGCAGCCAGUGUGGGAAGAGUUUUGCUCAGUCAGGUAGCCUUAAAACACACCAGAGAGUUCACAGUAGAAACUGACCAAUCCAGUCUGGGGGAGGAUGAUUGCCAUGUAGAUGAUGUUUAAAAAAAAAUAAAAAAAAAAUUUUAAUGGCAGAUUAAUCAAACUGCUAUAUGGAACAGGCUGUGUGGCGUAGUCCUUAAGUAUUUGGACAGCGGGGUCAUUUUUGUUGUUUUGAUUCUGUACUUCAGCACAUUUGGUUUGUUAUGAAACCACGUCAGCUUUAAUUUGAAGGCAUUUGUAUACACAUUGGCUGAACCUUAUGGAGGAAUAUUUAGGAAAAAAUUUAAUAAAUGCAUCUAUAAAUAAUUAAAUAUACAGUGUAAUGUGACAAUAACUAAAUAAUGACGAAAUGAAAUGUGAGCAUAAAUAAUUAAAUGUGGCACGAAAUGUACGUAUUUAUUUAUUUAUUUAUUUAUUUCAAUGCCGCUACGUGCGACAUGAAAUAAGGCUUGAAAUUAAAACAGUCACUUUUAUUUAUUUCAAUGACGCUACGUACGGCAUGAAAUAAGGCUUGAAAUUAAAACCGUCACUUUUAUUUAUUUUAGUGACGCUACGUGCGACAUUAAAUAAGGAUUGAAAUUAAAACCGUCCUUUUCACCCAUCAAAGUUCGGAGGGCGGGCUCUAGCGAGUACACAAAACACAGAAGGCUUAGUGAUAGGUUCAGUAUUUCUGAGAGACCCGCCUCUAGUGGCUGCAGUCUACAGCAAUCCAGCGAUGAGCGGUAGAAUUCCAGUGCCGACAAAUAUGCUUGCAAGCGUUCCAGCCUCAGCUAGCAGUCAGCCACGGCAUAUAAUGGAUAAAUCUCAGCAGCUACGAAAACUAUAAACGCUGUUUUAUUAAGGUCUUUAUAAGGUGGUAUAAAAUCAUUCGGUAAAAUGACGAAUUAUCUUAAUUUUCAAACUCAAAUAACCACUAUUAUGGAAAUCAUGACAAAGACAGCGAUAGCAGAGAUCAUCAAACUUUUUGACGACAGUUCCUCAGUUUUAUGUUUGAAAGUAUCUAGGACUUUACAUGAGAAUGAAGCGUUGAAGAAGAAACUACAGCUGUUGCAGCAUGAGCUGAGGACGGCGCGAGGACAGAAAGAGGAAAUAAAAUCAGCGCGUGAAAGUUCUGUCAACACUCGAUCUGUUGGAGUUGAAGUUCUCGUGGAAGAGCAGUGCAGAGAGAAUCUUUGGGCAGGAGUGGAGCUUCAGUCUGAGGAGAGAUGGAGAACCUGCAGGUGUGGAACAGUCUGCAAACAUGGGGGUCAGGACUGAACCAGUUCUAAUCAAGCAGGAGAGACUGGAAGAGGACUUGUGCUACAGUGACCCACAGCCCACACCUGGAGCAGAGGAACUGGUAACACAGCCCAUACCUGCAACAGAGGAACAGAUAGAAGAUGGGAAGAAACUGGACACAGAGCCCACACCUGCAGGAGACCCAGAGGAGCUGAGUGAGCAGCACAGGUGUGAACACAGUGAUGAGGAGCUCAGUGGACUGGAGUUUGUGGUGAAGGCAGAGCAAGAGGAAGAGCAUGUAGCCCAGAGACUCAGUCAGACAGGAUGUGAACACAGAGCAGGAAGACUCAACAAUGUGGGCUCUGAGUAUGUAAUGUAUGAGAGAGACAGUCAGCUGUGGACUUCCUUUACACAAGAGGACAGUGAUAUAGAGACUGAUGAUCCCGUUUGUUCUAACACUUCAGAGCAGUGCUCACAGAAUCUGUCAAUUCACAUGCAGCUACAACAUACUCCUGCCACCUUGGAAGUCUCUGGAAACACACUGUCCUCUAUUGGGGCUUCAUAUGUUGAGGAGUUUGAUAAGAUGAGUGAGAAGCCGUCUGUUUGCAGUGAGGAGCUCAGAUCAGAGGCCAUUCACACACAGCAGGGUCAGUACAGAGAGAGACUUGUGCACACAGUGGAGA